CAUCGAUUCAGGUUGCAUGGCAUUAAGUAGCAUUUCCCAUCCGUGGCUUGACGAGAUCCUGUAUCACGCCGGGAUAAUUGCGUUAUGAUAGUUCAUCGCUCAGAGAUACAAAUUGAGAGUCUGAUCAUCGGGGGUAUAUCCCAGCGCUCUUCUUUGUCGUGACUUUCAAAACCUGUUCGGACUGUGAGUGGGAGACAUAAACCUGAAUUGUCAUUGAGAAAAAUUGGAAAGCUUCAAACAGACUUGAACCAACCGGCAUU